rnacentral:rRNA from 1 species
GGGACCGCCCGGAUAACGGGGAGGAAGGCGGGAUGACGUCAAGUCAGCAUGGCCCUUAUGUCCAGGGCUACACACGUGCUACAAUGGGCGAUACAGAGGGAAGCAAGGCCGCAAGGUAGAGCUAAUCCCUAAAAGUCGUCCUCAGUUCGGAUUGCAGGCUGCAACUCGCCUGCAUGAAGUCGGAAUCGCUAGUAAUCGCGGAUCAGCUACGCCGCGGUGAAUACGUUCUCGGGCCUU